rnacentral:rRNA from 1 species
GAUGAACGCUGGCGGCGUGCCUAAUACAUGCAAGUCGAGCGAACAGACGAGGAGCUUGCUCCUCUGACGUUAGCGGCGGACGGGUGAGUAACACGUGGAUAACCUACCUAUAAUACUGGGAUAACUUCGGGAAACCGGAGCUAAUACCGGAUAAUAUAUUGAACCGCAUGGUUCAAUAGUGAAAGACGGUUUUGCUGUCACUUAUAGAUGGAUCCGCGCCGCAUUAGCUAGUUGGUAAGGUAACGGCUUACCAAGGCAACGAUGCGUAGCCGACCUGAGAGGGUGAUCGGCCACACUGGAACUGAGACACGGUCCAGACUCCUACGGGAGGCAGCAGUAGGGAAUCUUCCGCAAUGGGCGAAAGCUUGACGGAGCAACGCCGCGUGAGUGAUGAAGGUCUUCGGAUCGUAAAACUCUGUUAUUAGGGAAGAACAAAUGUGUAAGUAACUAUGCACGUCUUGACGGUACCUAAUCAGAAAGCAACGGCUAACUACGUG